rnacentral:rRNA from 1 species
AGAUUGAACGCUGGCGGCAUGCCUUACACAUGCAAGUCGAACGGCAGCACGGGGGCAACCCUGGUGGCGAGUGGCGGACGGGUGAGUAAUGCAUCGGAACGUGCCCAGUAGUGGGGGAUAACUAGUCGAAAGACUAGCUAAUACCGCAUACGACCUAUGGGUGAAAGCGGGGGAUUCGCAAGAACCUCGCGCUAUCGGAGCGGCCGAUGUCUGAUUAGCUAGUGGCGGGGUAAAGCCCACAAGGCUUCGAUCAGUAGCUGGUCUGAGAGGACGACCAGCCCACAACGUGGGACUGGACGACCGACGGCCCAGACCUCCUACGGGAGGCAGCGAGGUCGGGGUAAUUUGGACAAGUCGGGACGACAAGGCCUAGAUCCCAGUCCA